GGGUCGUUAGCUCAGUUGGUAGAGCAGUUGACUUUUAAUCAAUUGGUCGCAGGUUUGAAUCCUGCACGACCCACCA
rnacentral:tRNA from 4 species